rnacentral:rRNA from 1 species
UGAGGAAUAUUGGUCAAUGGACGGAAGUCUGAACCAGCCAUGCCGCGUGAAGGAUGAAGGCGUUCUGCGUUGUAAACUUCUUUUAUCUGGGAAGAAACCACAGAUUUCUAUUUGUGUUGACGGUACCAGAAGAAUAAGCACCGGCUAACUCCGUGCCAGCAGCCGCGGUAAUACGGAGGGUGCGAGCGUUAUCCGGAUUUACUGGGUUUAAAGGGUGCGUAGGCGGGCUAUUAAGUCAGAGGUGAAAUCUCCGGGCUCAACCUGGAAACUGCCUUUGAUACUAUUAGCCUUGAAUUAUGUUGAGGUUGGCGAAUAUAACAUGUAGCGGUGAAAUGCUUAGAUAUGUUAUGGAACACCGAUUGCGAAGGCAGCUGGCUAAACAUAUAUUGACGCUGAUGCACGAAAGCGUGGGUAGCGAACA